GUUGGAACUUUUGGUGAUUAAAGGACAAAGUGGUAUAAAAAAGGGGUUUAUAGGGGUAUAAUGGGAAAAUCAAGAUUAAAGGACAAAGUGGUGUAAAAAAGGGGUUUAUAGGGGUAUAAUGGGAAAAUCAAGAAAGAAAAGGUCUAAGCAUAACUCAAGAUUGAAGAUUCAUCUUUAACCUUCGAACACUCCCAGAACCAGCGGAGGUUGCUUCGAAUUCAGGGGAGAUUUCUCAUUGCUCUGGCUUCGGAAGGAUCUAAAAUUAUAAGUGAAAGUCAGAAACUCAAUGGCCUCUUGAUCCCAACCAAUAGACACAUCAAACAGCAAUCGAAGAAGGUGGGCUGCCCCUACAACUCAGAUCCUGGCGGUAGUUUCAGGUAGCCUGUGCAGGUUGUGUCUCACAAUAGGAGGAGCCUCAUGAGAGGCCAAGAUUCUAGGGCUUCAGUCGCCCAUUGAUAGAGAAUAACCACACAAAGUUUCAAGAGGGAAGGAAGAGGGACGAAAGAGAACGAACCACUCCCCUCAAGCUGCUAUCGUUGCUAGUUGCAGGGACCAAACAGAAAAUAGAAGGGAAAACAUGUAACAGAUCGAUGGCAAGAGGUAAAAUAAGAGAGAAGGGAAAGAAGAGGAGAGAAAAGAGAUCGCACCGGGGGGGGGGGGGAAGGGAAGGAGGUCACAUGACCUAGUUUGCACCUACCUGGCACCAAAACACUUAUUCAAUCAUUCUUCUAAACCUGUCAAUCGGUUACAAGAUUAUCACUAUUUAUAGACUCAAAAGAACCCUAUUUUCCUAUUAUGAAAUUGACAUAAAUCACGAAUUACUUCCUAAGAUCUAAACUUAUAAAAUUAGAAACAAAAUAAAACUCAAAUUGGAUAUUCUUAAUUAGCCUAAUAUCUACCAAGAUAAAAAAGAUAUUAAAUAAAUUUUUCCUAAAAUAAAAUAAAAUCUUAAAAUAUCCUACUAAACCCAAAUCAUCCAUCCGGACCCGGUUUGUCUCGGUCGAGAUUGCCAGAAGGGUCAACCCGGUUCAACUUUGUUUCUUCAUCACUCUCUUCACACGAUGUUUCUAAGGCCUGAUCUGUUCUUUUAGGUCCAUAUUAUUGUCCCUUUUCCCCACUUUAUUACAGCAUGCCAUCGAGUUUUGUCUAUUCCAAGAUUACCCCUCUCACCUUAUUACACAUCCUUUGUUCUUUUCUCUUUGAUUUAAAGUCCAACUAUUUACCAAUGUACAUCCUCUUAUGAACCUUACCUUUUUGACAAAAUUGUCAUCGUUAGCUUGUGUUUGGGUUUUAGUUGGUUAAGUGGGCCCAUAAGCGAUCGAUUCCAAAUUUGGAACCCAGAUCCCCAUCACUAGGUCUAAGAACCAAACUGUAAGUUCAAGCCAUCUCAAAGUAGAUUGUCGAAGUAAUCACCCCUUCUCCAAAAUUUCGUCAUUCCAUAUUAAUACUCUCGCAUCCUCGCUUUUAAUGCAUUUGACAUGGUCUAAAUCUCUGCUAUUCCUUUCUCUUAUUUUGGCUAUCCCAUAAAUCACUUUUUCUCCUUCCUUUGUAUGAGGUUUGCAUAGAGGUCAUCGUACUUCUUUGCUCUUGCUUUCCCAACAAUAUUUCGGGCUUCUUUUCUAGCCGCAUAAUAUCUCUUCUUACCCUCUGUUGUUAUUCCUUUUUCAAGUCUUGAAGAGCUCUUUCUUCUUCUUGAUGGCUGCUUGGACCUCAUCAUCCCACCACUCUUGUCUCUUGGGGUCAGGUUUACCUUUGAGAACCCUAGAACAUCUUUAGCGACUUUCUUAAUAUAGGUCGUCGUCUCAGUCCACAUCUUGUUGGUCUCUCCUUCAACAUCCCACUUCCGUUGUUGGAUCACUUUAUCGGUAAAUGUUUCUUAGGGAACUCCUUGUAGCCACCUGACUUUUCUUAGGGCAUGCCGGCUUUGCCUUCAUGCAUUGCCUCGUACCAACGAACAUAUCCAACACCGCCAAUCUAUGUUGAGUGGUUAAGUUCUCUCAGGGGAUAACCUUACAAUCUUUACACAGCAGUUUGUCAGACCUUCUGGUUAGGAGGAAGUCUAUUUGGCUUGCAUGUUGUCCACUUUUAUAUGUAAUUAAAUAUUCUUCUCUCAUCGAAGAAAGUAUUUGCUAUGCUUAGAUCAAAGGUGAUCACAAAGUUUGACACUGAGGUACCUUUAUCAUUCCACACCCUAAAUCCAUAUCCUCCAUGAACUUCUUCUAUCCUCUACGAUCUCGUCCCACAUGACCAUUUAAGUCACUGCCAAUGAUAAUCUUAUCUCCGUGAAAAACACCUUACACUAAUCCAUUUAUUUGUUCCCAGAGCUACAAUUUAUAACUCUCGUCUAAUCCUGCUUGGGGUACACGCUAAUUUUGUUGACAACCUCGUUGUUGAGAACAAGUUUGAUGGAUAUAUUCCUAUCUCCACAUCUUUUAACUUCCACAACUUCAUUCGAUAGGUCUUUGUCCACCACAAUGCCUACUCCUCUACCGCGUUCGUCCCUCAAAUAUCGUAUUUUGAAAUCAUCUACCAUCUUAGCUCUAUUACCCUUCCAUCUAGUUUCCUGAAUACGUGCAACAUUGAUCUUUCUUCUUCUCAUGAUGUCAAUUCAGCUCCAUAUUCUUACGCGUGGGAGAGCUGAUGUUCCAAGAUGCAAAUCUUACUCUACCUUAAUGAACAAGAUUAGUAAUAAAGGGCAUGCAUGGUAAAGAAAAGUAAAAGGUAUUCAAAAAAAUUUUAGGAUCCAUGUUAAGAGGAUUGGCUGAAUAAUAAUAAAGUGUCGUCUGCCUACCUGACGCACCAAUAUAAGAAAUAAAUAGGACAGGGGUAAGCAUAGACAGAAUUCUUUGUAGCUCCAGAAUGUUUCAGUUUAUGCUCCUACCUAUUAUAUUGAUAUACCAAGAGAGAUGUAUGGUCUAGUGAGGCUACUACGAAUUAUAGCAUAGCAAUAGGGCUCCUAGUACGACAGAACAAAAAGUCUUACCACUAGAGAGAUGUAGUAAAGCAAUUAUAAUGUUUAAUUCAGUUAGAGUCGACCAUAAACAAAUAGCUAAACAAUGUUGCGAAGCAGAAAUACAAAGAAAUACAAUGGUACAUCAAUUAGAGCCUAUGAAUAAACACAUAGCUAAACAAUGUUGCGAAGCAGAAAUACAAAGAAAUACAAUGGUACAUCAAUUAGAGCCUAUGAAUAAACACAUAGCUAAACAAUGUUGAGCGGAG